GACGAACGCUGGCGGCGUGCUUAACACAUGCAAGUCGAACGGAAAGGCCCUGCUUUUGUGGGGUGCUCGAGUGGCGAACGGGUGAGUAACACGUGAGUAACCUGCCCUUGACUUUGGGAUAACUUCAGGAAACUGGGGCUAAUACCGGAUAGGAGCUCCUGCUGCAUGGUGGGGGUUGGAAAGUUUCGGCGGUUGGGGAUGGACUCGCGGCUUAUCAGCUUGUUGGUGGGGUAGUGGCUUACCAAGGCUUUGACGGGUAGCCGGCCUGAGAGGGUGACCGGCCACACUGGGACUGAGAUACGGCCCAGACUCCUACGGGAGGCAGCAGUGGGGAAUAUUGCACAAUGGGCGGAAGCCUGAUGCAGCACCGCCGCGUGCGGGAUGACGGCCUUCGGGUUGUAAACCGCUUUCGCCUGUGACGAAGCGUGAGUGACGGUAAUGGGUAAAGAAGCACCGGCUAACUACGUG
rnacentral:rRNA from 1 species